ensembl:lincRNA Gm2694 predicted gene 2694
GGGGCAGCGGGGCUGGGCUCGGGCCGGGAGUCAGACGAGGGAGCGCGCGCGCGCUCCCGGACAGUUCUCCGCAGCCGCUCGCCCGAGCCUUCUACUUGGCCAACACAGCUGCCUCUACCACCUCGCGUGCCCGGUUCGUGGGCUUUCAGUUACCAAGCAUGUCCUGAAGAUGAAGAUACUCUCAGCCUAACGUCUCCAAGCAAAUAUUGAUUCAGCAGUAUCCCCAGGCAAAGCCACACCAUAUAUCAGUGAACAGAGAAACAACUGCCCUUCUCCGGGCCCCUGUCUGAGAAGCUGGAGCAUCAGCCCUGGAGCUCUCCGGAGCAGUUUCCUUGCUCACUGUCCCCAGCUGAACACAGCCGCAUGCAGAGGUCCAAAGCACGUAAACAGGAUACCCACCCUGCAUUAUCUUAUAUUUUAAGUCAAUAUGAAGAUGGACAUUCUACCCCUGAGACCAAUUUCGAUCAAAUACUUUUGUCAAUAAAAAGAUACUAAUGU